rnacentral:rRNA from 1 species
UACGAAGGGUGCAAGCGUUACUCGGAAUUACUGGGCGUAAAGCGUGCGUAGGUGGUGAGUUAAGUCUGUCGUGAAAGCCCCGGGGCUCAACCUGGGAAUGGCGAUGGAUACUGGCUCGCUAGAGUGCGGUAGAGGAGAGUGGAAUUCCCGGUGUAGCAGUGAAAUGCGUAGAGAUCGGGAGGAACAUCAGUUGCGAAGGCGGCUCUCUGGACCAGCACUGACACUGAGGCACGAAAGCGUGGGGAGCAAACAGG